GGGCCACCCGCCAGCCCCGCGCUCUACCAGGCAGAGCGCGUGUGGCCGCCGAGCACAUGGACCCACUGGUCAAGCGGGCUCGGCAAGGCCAGGAUGAAGAGAAGCUACGAACUUAGCAUUCCCAGAGCCCCCCGAGUGGAUAUCCGCGUGGAAAGGAUGUUGGCAGCCCCGGUGACCUCGGAGUCACGGCUGGAUCCACCCUCUUAGAGCCGAGUUCUGUCACCACAGACAUUGGCAGUGGCACUUGCAUGCCCCUGGCAAGCAGUCUAUCCUGAGGUGGAGGAAGUUGCCCUUGAGUUCUGGCUGGUAACCAGCACAGUAUACCCUUUAAGCGUUCCAGAAGGAUUUUGAGAUCCUUUCCUAAAUCAAAGGUGGAAUAUUUGGGGAUUUGGAAAAUUGAGAUGUGAAGCGUUGACUUAAGAGAUGCCAAGUAACUCAGCAGAUGUCACACAGACGAUAAAUAGCAAAGAUGGAAGUCUUCAUGCCGGAGGCAAUCCUAUAAGACAGCUGAGUUCUGCAGAGCUGGUAGGAGACAGACUUGCUCAGGUGAUAGAUCCAGCCAUGAUACUGACCCUAAGAGAAUGAGACGCUCUGCAGAAGACAGAAGAUUCCUGAAACUGGGAAAGGUGCCUAGAAAUCCUGAUAAGAGUGAAGAAGGAGCUGGCAGAGCAGCCUUCCUCCGCACUAUGAAAGACAUCCAACAGAGAGCAAGUUCCCACCUCACUUCCAGCUUGACUCCUUUUUAUCUCCUAACUGUGGUCUGUGAUGUCUUCAGCAAUGGUAUUAACUAGUUCUGGGUACCUGGAGGCACAGCAGCCAUGUUGAACCUAUGAGGUGAUGAAAAACCAUGCAACUAGAAACCAGAAUGGAAGAAAAGAAGAAGCUGGAUCCUUGACUGAAUUGUCGAUGGGGGAUAGUCCAUCAUCCCAGGGCUAAGACCACCUCCAGAUUUCUUGUUUGGUGAAACAAGUCCUGAUUGUUUACAUUCCCUCGUGUUGAGCUGUCUCUUGCUUGUAGCUGAAAGCAUUUCUAAUAGAUAUUCAGAUUAUCAGCCUUAGCUCCAAGCUAGAAUACUCUAUGGGACCUUAGCUUCUCCAUGAAUUCCUUUGCUCAUCUGUGUAAUGCUCAAUAAAUGUAAAUUGAACCCUGAAUGAGGGACAAUGACACUA
rnacentral:lncRNA from 1 species